ensembl:ncRNA F11A1.14 ncRNA
UGUUUUAAAAAUGUCAGAGUACAGUACUCACCAAGUGCGAUAGAACUUUUUGAAGAUUCAAAACAAUUAUGGAUUGUGAAAAUGAGUGAUGAGGAAAACGAUACGGACGAUUUGAGGAUAAAAUGAAAAGGAGUCUGAAUGAAAAU